GACGAACGCUGGCGGCGUGCCUAAUACAUGCAAGUUGAGCGCUGAAGGUUGGUACUUGUACCAACUGGAUGAGCAGCGAACGGGUGAGUAACGCGUGGGGAAUCUGCCUUUGAGCGGGGGACAACAUUUGGAAACGAAUGCUAAUACCGCAUAAAAACUUUAAACACAAGUUUUAAGUUUGAAAGAUGCAAUUGCAUCACUCAAAGAUGAUCCCGCGUUGUAUUAGCUAGUUGGUGAGGUAAAGGCUCACCAAGGCGAUGAUACAUAGCCGACCUGAGAGGGUGAUCGGCCCAUUGGGACUGAGACACGGCCCAAACUCCUACGGGAGGCAGCAGUAGGGAAUCUUCGGCAAUGGACGAAAGUCUGACCGAGCAACGCCGCGUGAGUGAAGAAGGUUUUCGGAUCGUAAAACUCUGUUGGUAGAGAAGAACGUUGGUGAGAGUGGAAAGCUCAUCAAGUGACGGUAACUACCCAGAAAGGGACGGCUAACUACGUG
rnacentral:rRNA from 1 species